ensembl:lncRNA
GUUAAAUUAAGAUCUUUUACAUCUCUCCCUCAAAUUCUCAUCAAUAAAGCUUGUUUUAAGAUUCAGUAAACUCAAGUUGCUUGAUUCAAGAGUCACACAAAAAGCAUCUGAAAGAAACAGAGUUUAUUAUUGCUCUGACUUCAAGCAUGUUCAGACAAUGUGAGGAUAAAUUAUACAGCCUUCACCACAACUCACCAUACAGUCCAUGGAAUUGUUUAAUGACCAAAACAGUUUGUUAACAAAAACAGGUCCAGGAAACCGGCAAACUUGAUCACCCAAUAAAUCAAUGCUUCCCUUUCAUUCCUCCAUUUUAAUGUCUACUUCUGUGGGCAAUAAUAUCACAAAGACUAUAUUUUAUUGGCACAAACAUAUGUUCCUUGAAACUAACAGAAAAAUAAGAAAUACAGUCAAUGAGUUCAUGUACAAAUUCUGUAGCCUGGGCAACAUUGGGAACUGCCACCUCAUAUGCCAGCAAUUCUGGACUCAAAUUCAGUGUCUCAUAACGCUGACAACAGAUUGCAUGACCUCUACGCCUAGAAAAUCUUUGACUUUUCUCUUGACAUAAUCAAAAUUUUUGACAGCUGAGACAGGCCCCGAUUCUCUUUCACUAGCAAAAAUUGGAUGCUCAAUGCCUAUUUCAUUUUGACAACAUUCAAGGAACUGGUUAUGGUUUGCAAGCGAUUUACAGACAUUUUUGAAAUUUAACUUAGAAGCCCACUGCUUAAAAUAACUGUGCUUAGCUUCAAAUCGCAUACACAUACUUCUUAUUAAUGGACCAAGAGAUAUGAUUUGGCUUGGUAGAUGUAACAUGUAAUGUUGCUUGGGUAUUACAUUGGCUUCAGAGAAAAGUUCUUUGAAAUGAUGCAGAUGUUGCUCAAUCAUGCGUCUGAGCCGUAAUACGGUUUCUAAAGAAAUAACAGGAGCAAGGACAAUUUGAACAAUCUCAAUUAACUUGAGAAUAAAUUUGACAUACUCGUUGUCCAUACCGUUCAAAAGAAAAGGUAGGAUUUUUAAAAGUAUCAACAUUUGUCCACAUGACUGCUUUAAUUUAUUGUCAUUAGCAGCUAAAGUACUGACACUAAUAGGACAUGGCUUAUCUCUUAUGUCUAGAGGUGAGUAAGGAAAAUUUAGAAUAGCUGAGUUAAUCUCAUCUAAUUCUAUCUGUCCUGACAGAAUCAGGUUUUUUAAUACAAGCUUUAUUUCCAUUGGUGCAACACCUUCAAAAAUUACAUGCAUUAUAUCCUGUGGUGUUUGUUUGAUCAGAUCAAAUGCUGGAACAUCAACUAGUCUGCUUCUUCUGUUAAUCCCAUAAGUGGUUUUGAGGGAUGCUUUCAAUGUUUCUGUGCUUGCCUUAUCUAUUUCAACACACUGCCUAAUGUGCUUUUCCAAAGUUCUUUCAGCAAACCUAUUCUCCUCAAAAAUACUUUGCAUAUCCUCAAAGGAGCAUUCACAAUGUCUACAUUUGCUAUAAGCAAAACCAACACCUUGUUUAAAUCCAGCAAUAUCAUGUUGGGCAAGUGUGUCUCCACAUAUGGCGAUCACAGCACCAAACAACUCAAUUUCACCAUUUGGGGUGUCAAUCCUAACACCAUUGUACAGAAGUGUCAGAUCUUUUUGGAUUCUUUUUAGUAUAACAUCAACACCCCACUGAGAAAUAUUGUUUGCCUUGGCAAUAGCCAGGAGUCUUAUUGCAGCCAACUUCGACCUAAAUUUUGGAUCUAUAUUCCCUAAACUAUAAUAAAACAUCAGUAAUUUAUUUGCAGAGGCAUGGGCGCCUAAAGGGUUACAUAUUUCAAUUUCAUCGGUGUACAAUAGUAUUUGCAAUGCAUUUGGCCUUUGAGAAUAUAAUGGAUGGGAUGUAAAAAGGGCUCCAUCAGUAAAAUCAUACAAGAAUCCCUCACUUCUUUGUGGUACAGUGGUUAACAUGGUGAAGAUUCUGGGAUUGGUCAGUAACUGCUUAAGACUUUGAAUGAGUGGUACAUAGUAAAAACUUUUGCCUCUUAAGGCCAUGACCCUUGAAAGACCACGCUUUACCCAACAAAUCUUCUGGGACACCACAACUUCCUCUGGGUUGACU